GGUGUGUGGUGUUUGUGUGUGGGGUUCGGUGAGCGCUGCGGAGCCGGGUCAAGGUCUGGGCCCACAGAAAACAUAAAGCCCUGGGACUGGAGCCAGAGCCAAAUCCAAGUGGAUCUGAAAUAAAUCCCACAGGGAAGGGGAUGGAGCUGCCCAGGGCUUCCAGCCCAGCCAGUGGUGCCAAGCGCAAGCCAGGGGUGGAAUCUUGGGGGGUUCCUGGGGCUCAGAACCAGCCCAAGAGCACAUUUUGGGCUCUGGGCUGCAGUGAGAACCAGGAGCAGCUUUUAGCUGGAGGCACUGGGAAGCUGAGGAGAUGGAGCUGAGGCAGCACAGCUGGCAAGACAAACAUGCUUCUCCCCACUCCUCUGGCAGUGAGGGCCCUGUGCAGUGGAGCAGGACAUGUGUUUAUGGGGCACACGGGACACAUCCCCUGCUGCCAUUCACCGUCUGUGUGGGCAGGCAUCAAUCAAGCUGAAAAACACACAUGAAGAGAAAACUCCCUGAGGAGCUCACAGAGACAGGAGUUCCCUUCUCUUUGAAUUGCCAUUUGUAUUCCGAGAAUUGUGUAAACAUUAAAUAUUUAAAACAUUGCCUGUAGCGCUCUUGUUUCUCGG
ensembl:lncRNA